rnacentral:lncRNA from 1 species
AACAGAACACGAUACAUAAUACCAUUUAUUUUUAAACCUCAAUAAACCCAUAGAAAUAACAUCCACACAAUAAAACAACAGGGACAAGGAAAAAGGUUCCUCACAUCGAGGCCAUGAAGUUCCUCCAUUCCCAAAAUAUUAUCACUAAACAUGUUUCAUAGGGCUUCAGGGCAUUUAGUUCCUCUUUUGGAGGCGAGAUAGUUCCCAUAUCCCAAAGAU